rnacentral:rRNA from 1 species
UACGUAGGUGGCAAGCGAUACUCGGAAUCACUAGGCGUAAAGCGCAGGUAGGCGGUUUGGUAAGUCUCUUGUGAAAGCUCCUGGCUCAACUGGGAGAGGUCAAGGGAAACUACCGGACUAGAGUGUGGUAGGGGAUACUGGAAUUCCUGGUGUAGCGGUGAAAUGUGUAGAGAUCGGGAGGAACACCGGUGGCGAAGGCGGUCUUCUGGACGGUGACUGACGCUGAGGCGCGAAAGCGUGGGGAGCAAACGGG